GCCGAGGUAGCUCAGUUGGUAGAGCAGUCGAUUCGUAAUCGACAGGUCCCCGGUUCAAGUCCGGGCCUCGGCUCCA
rnacentral:tRNA from 1 species